UGGGGAAUUUUGCGCAAUGGGCGAAAGCCUGACGCAGCAACGCCGCGUGAGUGAUGAAGGUCUUCGGAUCGUAAAGCUCUUUCGGCUGGGACGAAAACGGUCUGGCGAAUAACCAGGCCCUUGACGGUACCGGAAGAAGAAGCACCGGCUAACUCUGUGCCAGCAGCCGCGGUAAUACAGAGGGUGCAAGCGUUGUUCGGAAUUAUUGGGCGUAAAGCGCGUGUAGGCUGCGACGUAUGUCGGGUGUGAAAGCCCUCGGCUCAACUGAGGAAGUGCGCCCGAAACUACGUUGCUCGAGUGCUGGAGAGGGUAGCGGAAUUCCCGGUGUAGAGGUGAAAUUCGUAGAUAUCGGGAGGAACACCAGUGGCGAAGGCGGCUACCUGGACGGACACUGACGCUGAGACGCGAAAGCGUGGGGAGCAAACA
rnacentral:rRNA from 1 species